ensembl:rRNA 5S_rRNA 5S ribosomal RNA
GCUUACGGCCAUACCACCUUAGGCACGCCCGAUCUACUUUUCUGAUCUCGGAAGCUAAGCAGGGUCGGGCCUGGUUAGUACUUGGAUGGGUGACCGCCUGGGAAUACCAGGUGCUGUAAGCA